GACGAACGCUGGCGGCGUGCUUAACACAUGCAAGACGAACGGUGAAAGCGGAGCUUGCUCCGCUGGAUCAGUGGCGAACGGGUGAGUAACACGUGGGCAACCUGCCCCUGACUUCGGGAUAACUCCUCGAAAGAGGUGCUAAUACCGGAUACGAAUCCUGCAGGCAUCUGCGGGAUUGGAAAGUUUUUCGGUCAGGGAUGGGCCCGCGGCCUAGCAGCUUGUUGGUGAGGUAGUGGCUCACCAAGGCGACGACGGGUAGCCGGCCUGAGAGGGCGACCGGCCACACUGGGACUGAGACACGGCCCAGACUCCUACGGGAGGCAGCAGUGGGGAAUAUUGGACAAUGGGCGCAAGCCUGAUCCAGCCAUGCCGCGUGAGUGAAGAAGGCCUUAGGGUUGUAAAGCUCUUUUACCAGGGACGAUAAUGACGGUACCUGGAGAAUAAGCCCCGGCAAACUUCGUGCCAGCCGCCGCGGUAA
rnacentral:rRNA from 1 species